UAUAAGUUAGUGUAAUAGCACAAAGAACUUUGAUUUCUUUAGAAAUAUAAAAUAUUACUUAUAA